AUACGGAGGAUGCGAGCGUUAUCCGGAUUUAUUGGGUUUAAAGGGAGCGUAGGCGGAUUAUUAAGUCAGUUGUGAAAGUUUGCGGCUCAACCGGAAAAUUGCAGUGGAUACUGGUAGUCUUGAGUGCAGCAGAGGUAGGCGGAAUUCGUGGUGUAGCGGUGGAAUGCUUAGAUAUCACGAAGAGCUCCGAUUGAGAAGGCAGCUUACUGGACUGUAACUGACGCUGAUGCUAGAAAGUGUGGGUAUCAAACAGGAUUAGAUACCCUGGUAGUCCACACAGUAAACGAUGAAUACUCGGUGGUUGCGAUAUACAGUAAGCGGCCAAGCGAAAGCAUUAAGUACUCCACCUGGGGAGUACGCCGGCAACGGUGAAACUUAAAGGAAUUGACGGGG
rnacentral:rRNA from 1 species